rnacentral:rRNA from 1 species
UACGAAGGGGGCUAGCGUUGCUCGGAAUUACUGGGCGUAAAGGGCGCGUAGGCGGCACUGUUAGUCAGGCGUGAAAGCCCUGGGCUCAACUCAGGAAGUGCACCCGAUACUACGUGGCUAGAGUACCGGAGAGGUUGGUAGAAUUCUCGGUGUAGAGGUGAAAUUCGUAGAUAUCGAGAGGAAUACCUGUGGCGAAGGCGGCCAACUGGACGAGUACUGACGCUGAGACACGAAAGCGUGGGGAGCAAACAGG